rnacentral:rRNA from 1 species
CUCGUAGACUCCUACGGGAGGCAGCAGUGGGGAAUAUUGGACAAUGGGCGAAAGCCUGAUCCAGCCAUGCCGCGUGAGUGAUGAAGGCUCUAGGGUUGUAAAGCUCUUUCGCCGAUGAAGAUAAUGACGGUAGUCGGAGAAGAAGCCCCGGCUAACUUCGUGCCAGCAGCCGCGGUAAUACGAAGGGGGCUAGCGUUGUUCGGAAUUACUGGGCGUAAAGCGCACGUAGGCUGUGCCGCAAGUCAGGGGUGAAAUCCCAGAGCUCAACUCUGGAACUGCCUUUGAAACUGCGGUGCUAGAAUCUCAGAGGGGUGGCGGAAUUCCAAAUGUAGGGGUGAAAUCCGUAGAUAUUUGGAGGAACACCGGUGGCGAAGGCGGCCACCUGGAUGAGUAUUGACGCUGAGGUGCGAAAGCGUGGGGAUCAAACAGGAUUAGAUACCCUGGUAG